AGAGUUUGAUCCUGGCUCAGAUUGAACGCUGGCGGCAGGCCUAACACAUGCAAGUCGAGCGGGGUUUUCGGACCUAGCGGCGGACGGGUGAGUAAUGCGUAGGAAGCUACCCGACAGAGGGGGAUACCAGUUGGAAACGACUGUUAAUACCGCAUAAUGCCUACGGACCAAAGUGUGGGACCUUCGGGCCACAUGCUGUCGGAUGCGCCUACAUGGGAUUAGCUAGUUGGUGAGGUAAUGGCUCACCAAGGCGACGAUCCCUAGCUGGUUUGAGAGGAUGAUCAGCCACACUGGAACUGAGACACGGUCCAGACUCCUACGGGAGGCAGCAGUGGGGAAUAUUGGACAAUGGGCGCAAGCCUGAUCCAGCCAUGCCGCGUGUGUGAAGAAGGCCUUCGGGUUGUAAAGCACUCUCAGCGAGGAGGAAGGGUUGUGUGUUAAUAGCACAUAGCCUUGACGUUACUCGCAGAAGAAGCACCGGCUAACUCUGUGCCAGCAGCCGCGGUAAUACAGAGGGUGCAAGCGUUAAUCGGAAUUACUGGGCGUAAAGCGCACGCAGGCGGUUGGUUAAGUCAGAUGUGAAAGCCCCGGGCUCAACCUGGGAAUUGCAUUUGAAACUGGCCAACUAGAGUACGUGAGAGGGGGGUAGAAUUCCAAGUGUAGCGGUGAAAUGCGUAGAGAUUUGGAGGAAUACCAGUGGCGAAGGCGGCCCCCUGGCACGAUACUGACGCUCAGGUGCGAAAGCGUGGGGGAGCAAACAGGAUUAGAUACCCUGGUAGUCCACGCCGUAAACGAUGUCU
rnacentral:rRNA from 1 species